rnacentral:rRNA from 1 species
CACGUAGGGCGCAAGCGUUGCUCGGAAUCACUGGGCGUAAAGCGCACGUAGGCGGAUCGUUAAGUCGGAGGUGAAAUCCUGGAGCUCAACUCCAGAACUGCCUUCGAUACUGGCGAUCUUCGAGUCCGGGAGAGGUGAGUGGAACUCCGAGUGUAGAGGUGAAAUUCGUAGAUAUUCGGAAGAACACCAGUGGCGAAGGCGGCUCACUGGCCCGGUACUGACGCUGAGGUGGCGAAAAGCGGUGGGGAGCAAACGGG